UGGGGAAUAUUGGACAAUGGGGGGAACCCUGAUCCAGCCAUGCCGCGUGUGUGAAGAAGGCCUUAUGGUUGUAAAGCACUUUAAGCGAGGAGGAGGGUACUGGUAUUAAUACUACCAGGUACUGGACGUUACUCGCAGAAUAAGCACCGGCUAACCCUGUGCCAGCAGCCGCGGUAAUACAGAGGGUGCGAGCGUUAAUCGGAUUUACUGGGCGUAAAGCGUGCGUAGGCGGCUAAUUGAGUCGGAUGUGAAAUCCCCGAGCUUAACUUGGGAAUUGCAUUCGAUACUGGUUAGCUAGAGUGUGGGAGAGGAUGGUAGAAUUCCAGGUGUGGCGGUGAAAUGCGUAGAGAUCUGGAGGAAUACCGAUGGCGAAGGCAGCCAUCUGGCCUAACACUGACGCUGAGGUACGAAUGCAUGGGGAGCAAACAGG
rnacentral:rRNA from 1 species